rnacentral:tRNA from 1 species
GCCGCGAUAGCUCAGUGGUAGAGCACUUCCAUGGUAAGGAAGGGGUCUUGAGUUCAAAUCUCAAUCGUGGCUCCA